UCAAAAAAGAACAAGAAAAGCUCAGGGCAGUGAAUCACAUUUUGCUCAGGAAAACCAACUCAAGAGUGGAAGGAUGGAGAAGUGGCCACUAGCUUCACUAGCAAUCUUUUGGCUGCAGCUGAGCUGGGUGAGCAGUGAAGACAAGGUGAUACAAAGCCCCCCAUCUCUGGUUGUCCAGGAGGAAGACAGUGCAACUCUCAACUGCAGUUACCAAGUGACCAACUUUCAAAGCCUACUUUGGUUUCAGCAGCAAGAGAACGCUCCUACCUUUCUGUUUAGACAAAUUUCAAAUGGGAUUCAGAAGUCAGGAAGGUUAAAAGGGACAUUAGAUAAGAAAGCACUUCUCAGCACCCUGCACAUCACAGCCACCCAGCUCGGAGACUCAGCUACCUACUUGUGUGCAGUGGAGGCACAGUGUGGUCUAGUCAGCUGCAGCCCAUCCCCAAAUACUACAGCUGAGGCUCCUGCGACUGUUAGAUGGGGACCUUGCUAAAUCAG